GGGCUGGGAAAGACCGGUGCCAGCCGCCGCGGUAAUACCGGCAGCUCGAGUGGUCGUCGCUUUUAUUGGGCCUAAAACGUCCGUAGCCUGUUUGGUAAAUCUGUGGGUAAAUCAACCAGCUUAACUGGUUGAAUUCUGCAGAGACUGCCAGACUAGGGACCGGGAGAGGUGUGGGGUACUCUAGGGGUAGGGGUAAAAUCCUGUCAUCCUUAGAGGACCACCAGUUGCGAAGGCGCCACACUAGAACAGAUCCGACGGUCAGGGACGAAGCCUAGGGGCACGAACCGGAUUAGAUACCCGGGUAGUCCUAGGUGUAAACGCUGUGAACUUGGUGUCGGGAGUCCGCAAUGGGCCCCCGGUGCCGGAGUGAAGAUGUUAAGUUCACUGCCUGGGGAGUACGGUCGCAAGGCUGAAACUUAAAGGAAUGCGGGGGGAGAGCAC
rnacentral:rRNA from 1 species